rnacentral:rRNA from 1 species
AUGGUUUCUGUGAAAAGGCAGACGUGGAGUGGAAGCCACCCCCCUGAUUUCAAGCACAAGAAUCUGGUUAAGCUCACCAUCUAUGGCUUCCAACCUGACGACAUCUUUGUGCGAUUCAUCAGGUGUGUCAUGGAACAUGCGGAUAAUAUGGCAGAGAUAUCUCUGCAUGACAGGAAGAAGGUAUGUCUGCGCUGUGGUGUCUUGGAUCCUGAGAUGAAGUACCCAUCGAGGUAUCCACGGAAUGCUGAUGAACGCACACAUAUCACUGAAGAAUUGGGGAGGUCUUUGCCUGCUAUGGUUCGCUUCUGGACGUAA